UAAGAUAGGACUAAAUAGUGAUUGGUAUAGAAAUUACACUCUAGUUUUGGGCGGGAAAAAAAUUGUGAAGUUGGAUGAGCUUUUAUAUAUAUAGAUUUAAAAAAACGUAAAAGUUAAUGAAAAUUUUGAUUAUCCCAAAACAAAAUGAUGAUCUUACAACAAGACAAGCACAAAUACCAAUCAAAAAGGCAAUGAAUACACUGAUCGGAAUCAAUAAGAACACAACAUUGGAACAUCCUUCAACUAAAGUACCAACCUAUAUAAAUAGCAAGCCAGGAAGAGCAAUCCAAAGAAGCCUCAUAAAUACGUUAAUACAGCUGAAAUGAAGUCAAUGAACGAAAACUGACAACAGAAACAACAAUCGUACACAUUGUUAAAAGUUAACAAAGAUUCACAUUUGUAUCUUCACUCUAAAUCAAAGUGCCAAAAACUCUCACAUGCCACCAUGAUCAGAAUCUCCUCCUUGGACUCCUGGAAUGAUGACCCCGAGGUGAUCUGUAGAAGAUUUCAAUAAAAAUGAUGAAUCACAAAACAGUAACAGUCGGAUAGGACCAGACAUGAAA
rnacentral:lncRNA from 1 species